rnacentral:rRNA from 1 species
AGCCCCAAUGGAUUGCCUCAGUAGCGGCGAGUGAAGCGGCAAGAGCUCAGAUUUGAAAUCGUGCUUUGCGGCACGAGUUGUAGAUUGCAGGUUGGAGUCUGUGUGGAAGGCGGUGUCCAAGUCCCUUGGAACAGGGCGCCCAGGAGGGUGAGAGCCCCGUGGGAUGCCGGCGGAAGCAGUGAGGCCCUUCUGACGAGUCGAGUUGUUUGGGAAU